CUAGAUGGAAAUCAAUUGUAUGGAUCUAUUCCUUCUACAAUAGGAAACCUUGUGAAUCUUGAAAUCUUAGGUCUGAAUGA